rnacentral:lncRNA from 1 species
CAUUUGAUGCCUGCCCAACGCAAUGAACAAUUAGAUACAGGGACAGAGGAGAGAAUGGAGGCAUUUCAAAGGUGAUGGGCCCCAAAGACAGGUGGCAGAACGGCCUCUAUGAAGGUUUGCACUCCCGCCCAACUCCGCCACCAGCUGGGAGGGCGACCCUGGACCUGUCACUUCCCCUCUUGGACCCCAAUUUCCUCAUCUGCAGAAACAAGGAAGUAGUUCCACUAGGUAUUUUCCAAGGCUCCCUCCAGCUCCAAGAACCUAUGGACAUUACAGAGCCACCGUAGCCAAAGCUCUCGCUCCCCCACCCCCCACACCUGGCAGCACUCUGAAUCCUUUGGCUUGCCACAUGGAACUAAAAUUCCCUAAGGACAAGCACAGUAGCUACCCUAAGAGCUCUCAAAGCACACACCCCCUGAAGCUUUCUUAUCCUAGCAACGGGAACCCCUUCCAGAUCAGCUCUCUCCAAAGGUACAAGGCUUUUUGAGGACUGAUCCCGCAGAACUGCAAGGGGCACAGGCGUGAGAAUAUGCCCUGAUCUCAUCCCAAACACAACAAAAGAAGACAAGACAAAGGUGACGAGGCCGGGCUGGCGGGAGGGGGCAGAAACCCCGGUGAGGAAGAGGGCUUCAGGUCUGCCAGCUGCUCUCUCGUCUGAGGAAUUGCCGAUGACAGUUUCCAAACUGCUACCCUGGAGGAUCCCAGAGCUUCAUUUUAAGCAGCCCUUUGGAAGGCAGGCUACCCCUCUAAUGCACAACCUGUCUUUGCAGACUGGUAAUGAAUUCAUGCCAAAGUGGUCAAUUCAUUUUAAUAAACUAAUGAAUAUGCAGAGGCCCCAGGAAGCCAAGGCAGCAGUGGUGGUGGACUCUGGAGCCGACUGUAAUUAGGCCCCUGCCCUACUUUCUAAAAUUGCAUUUCCCUGCCAGGGAGCCUGCUCCAGGCCUUAUGAGAAGAAAGUCGGUCCACAGAGUGGAGAAGGUGCUGCUCAUGGUGACGGUGCCUCUAUAAACAGCCCCACCACUGGAGAAGCCUUAGCUUACUGAGCUAAUUCCUGCUACUGCAGCUGCCUGGGCUGGCGCGGGGCACCACCAACCACCAAGCGCCCCCGCCCGGGGGCUGCUGAGAAAGGCCCUGCUCCCUGGAGGCAACAGGUGCUGAGAGACCUGGAACGAAAAACGGUCACAGACAACCCACCAGCCUUUCAAAGUCAACGUGGCAGCUCCAGCUUCCCACCCCCAGAGCAUCGAGGCACUGGAGCUCAGCCAAAGAACAGCAGCCUCUCACCGCUCAGGACACAAAGCCCACUCAGCGAGGGUUUGUCUGCAGGGCCACCACCGAGGCCAGGGGAUCGCUAGAGCCCCCAGGAGAGAACGGCCGCGGAGCAAGGGGUUAGUGCUGGGAGCCGUGCCUGCCACUCAGGACUAGGGCAUCCCAAGGCCCUCCCCCAGCCGCCUGCAGGGGGCUUUUCCCUCACCCAGACUCUUCCAGCUCUUGCCUGGGACCGAACUCACCCUGACCCUGCCUUCUGGGCAAGGCCAGGGUCCUGUGGGCCAACGGGCAGUCAGUAGGCAACUUGGGAACUGACCCUUGUGCUAGGGGCACAAAACGGGCCAAGUAGCCACCAAGAAAAAGGAUGCCACAAAGCUGUCGUGGACAGCAGCAGGCUUUCUGCCCUAGAGACUAAGCAAGGCUACUAGGCAGAGGCAACAACAAACGGCCCCCACGAAGGCCGUGGUGCAUCAGCCAUACCUGAAGAGAGAGGUUCCUCCCCUUCCCAACUAACGGGCUUUGGGUUUUGCAGGGAGGCAGAAGAGCGGGUGGGGUAACCCCCUGGAUCCGCAGAAGCGGGGAGACACACGACUACGCAGGCCGCUGAGGGGUAACUGGAAUUCAGCUUGUAAACCAGAAGGCACCAGAUUAGGAGAAGGGGCGACUUGGAAAGAAAUGCUGCAGAAGUAAACGUGGAAAGGGAGAGGCGGCCCUGCCGCCGGCCCGUCCUAGGGGUCCCCAAGGCUCCGGCAUUACCCGGGUCGGCGGAUGUUAAACUCUGCGUCCUAAGAGCGCUUCCCUUCCCUCCCUUUUUCGAGAGACAGAGAACGAAUCUGUAAUCUAGAAAUGGUCAUUUCUCCAGAAUGGGCACUCGAGAUGAGGGAGAGCUGAGCAGGCGCAGGAGAAGGGAGGGAGG